ACUUUUAACAAUAGAUCUCUUGGUUCUAGUAUUAAUAAAGAACGCAGCGAAAUGCGAUAAGUAGUAUGAAUUGCAGAAUGUUAAGUAACAUUAGUUAAAUCUUUAAACGCACAUUGCGCCCCUUGGUAUUCUAUAGGGUAUGCCUGUUUAAGCGUUAUUUAUACCCUUAAGCUCUGCUUAGUGUUAGGUAUUUGUUCUACUUAGGACUUGCCUUAAAAUAAUUAGUAGCUAGCAUAUUAGCCUAGAGCGCAGCACAUUUUACGCCUCUUAUUAUAGUUAUUAGUAUCUAUUAAGACACUUUUUAAGCUCUUAACCUUAGAUUAGGUAGGGAUACCCGCUAAACUUAAGCAUAUUAAUAAGCGGAGGAAAAGAAACUAAUAGGGAUUGCCCUAGUAAUAGCAAGUGAAGUGGCAAUAGCUUAAAUUUAAAAUCUAGCUCUUUUAGGGUCUAAGUUAUAAUUUGUAGAGGGCGCUUUAGUGUUAGCAGCGGUCCAAGUUCCUUAGAACAGGACGUUAUAGAGGGUAAGAAUCCUAUACGUAGUUGCUGGCCUUCGCCGUGUAAAGCCCCUUUAACAAGUCAAGUUAUUUAGGAAUGUAGCUCUAAAUAGGAGGUAAAUUUCUUCUAAAGCUAAAUACUAGCUAGAGACUAAUAGCGCACAAGUAGAGUAAUUAAAAGAUAAAAAGCACUUUAGAAAGAGAGUUAAAUAGCACGUGAAAUUGUUAAAAGGGAAGCGCUUAUAGCUAGACUUGCCUAUAGUUACUUAUCUAGGCUUUUGUCUAGUGCACUCUUCUAUAGGCAGGCUAGCAUUAGUUUAGGUAGUUAGAUAAAGGUCUCUAUUACGUACCUCCCUUUAGGGAGGCCUUAUAGGGGAGACGACAUACAACUAGCCUAGACUAAGGUCCGCGCAUCUACUAGGAUGCUAGCGUAAUAGCUGUAAGCGGCCUGUCUUAAAACAUAGACUAAGGAGUCUAACAUCUAUGCGAGUAUUUAGGUGUUAAGCCUAGACGCGUAAUAAAAGUGAACAGAGGUAGGAACCCUUUUAGGGUGCACUAUUAACUAAUCCUAAUGUCUUUAGAAGGAUUUAAGUAAGAGUAUAGCUAUUAGGACCUAAAAGAUAGUGAACUAUGCUUAAAUAGGGUAAAGCUAGAGGAAACUCUAGUAGAGGCUUGCAGCAGUUCUAACGUGCAAAUUAAUCGUUAAAUUUAGGCAUAGGGGCGAAAGACUAAUUAAACUAUCUAGUAGCUAGUUCCUGCUAAAGUUUCCCUUAGGAUAGCAGUAACAUAUUUAGUUUUAUAAGGUAAAGCGAAUAAUUAGAGGCCUAGGGGUUAAAAUAACCUUUACCUAUUCUUAAACUUUAAAUAUAUAAGAAGUCCUUGUUACUUAAUUAAACGUGGACACUUAAAUAUACUGUUACUAGUAGGCUAUUUUUAGUAAGUAGAACUAGCAAUACGGGAUGAACUAAACGCAGGGUUAAGGUGCUAGAAUGCACGCUUAUUAGACACUACAAAAGGUGUUAGUUUAUCUAGAUAGUAGGAUAGUAGCUAUGGAAGUUAGAAUCUGCUAAGGAGUGUGUAACAACUUACCUGCUAAAUAAACUAGCCCUAAAAAUAGAUGGCGCUUAAGCGUGUUACCUAUACCCCGCCGCUAGGGCAAGAUUUAAGCCCUAGCGAGUAGGCAGGCGUAGAGGCUUGUGACGAAGCCUUAGGGGUAACCCUAGGUAGAACAGCCUCUAGUGCAGAUCUUGGUGGUAGUAGCAAAUACUUAAAUAAGAACUUUAAGGACUAAAGUAGGGAAAGGUUCUGUAUAAACAGCAGUUAGACACAGGUUAGUUAAUCCUAAGAGAUAGGGUAAUUCUAUUUUAAUAUUAGUGCUUGCGCUACGCCCUUAAAAGGGAAGCUAGUUAAUAUUCUAGCACCUAGAUGUAGAUUCUCCGCGGCAACGCAACUAAGAGCGGAGACCUUGGCAGGAGCCCUAAGAAGAGUUCUCUUUUCUUCUUAAUAGUCUAUUACCCUAAAAUUAGUUUGUCUAGAGCUAGGGUUUAAUAGCUAGAAGAGCGCUACACUUUUGCAGCGUUUAGUGCGCUCCUAAUAAGCCUUAAAAAUCUACUUAAAGAAAUAGUUUUUACGCUAGGUUAUACUUAUAACUGUAGUAGGUCUCUAAGGUAAAAAGCCUCUAGUUAAUAGAACAAUAUAGAUAAGGGAAGUUAGCAAAAUAGAUCUAUAACUUUAGGAAAAGGAUUAGCUCUAAGGGUUAGGUACGUUAGGCCUUAGGGAGAAGCCUCUAGCGCAGAAGGGCACUAACCGCAAGGUGGGCGCCUCUUAGCGCUAGGGUGUAGACACCCUUAGCAGGUUUUAGCCAUCUAGCGUACGUUUAACAACUAACUUAGAACUAGUAUAGAUAAGGGGAAUCUAACUAUCUAAUUAAAAUAUAGCAUUAUAAUAGCUAGAAAGUAGUGUUAACGUAAUGUGAUUUCUGCCUAGUGCUCUAAAUAUUAAAGCGAAGAGAUUUAACUAAGCGCAGGUAAAUAGCGGGAGUAACUAUAACUCUCUUAAGGUAGCUAAAUACCUUAUUAUCUAAUUAGUGACGCGCAUAAAUAGAUUAACAAGAUUCCUACUGUCCCUAUCUACUAUCUAGCGAAACUAUAGCUAAGGGAAUAGGCUUAGCUAAAUUAGCGGGGAAAGAAGACCUUGUUAAGCUUAACUCUAGUUUAAUAUUAUGAAAAGACAUAGGGGGUGUAGAAUAGGUAGGAGCUUUAGCGCUAGUAAAAUACUACUACCCUUAUCGUUUUUUUACUUAUUUAAUAAAGCGGAGCUAGGCCUUACUGCCUAACUUCUAGCGUUUAAGGUCCUUUGUAGGCUAAUCUAGGUUAAAGACAUUAUUAGGUAGGGAGUUUAGCUAGGGCGGCACAUCUAUUAAACCAUAACGCAGGUGUCCUAAGGGGGACUUAUAGAGAAUAGAAAUCUCUAGUAGAGCAAAAGGGUAAAAGUCCCCUUAAUUUUGAUUUUUAGUGUGAAUACAAACUAUAAAAGUGUAGCCUAUUAAUCCUUUAGUCCCUUGAAAUUUGAGGCUAGAGGUGCUAGAAAAGUUACUACAGGGAUAACUAGCUUAUGGUAGCUAAGCGUUUAUAGCGACGUUGCUUUUUAAUCCUUUAAUAUUAGCUCUUCCUAUUAUACUAAAGUAGAAUUUAGUAAGUGUUAGAUUGUUCACCCACUAAUAGGGAACGUGAGCUGGGUUUAGACUGUCGUAAGAUAGGUUAGUUUUACCCUACUAAUAACCUUGCCCUAAUAGUAAUACCGCUUAGUACGAGAGGAACCGCGGUUUUAGAUAAUUAGUUUUUGUGGCUAUCUAACUAGGUAUUGCUAUAAAGCUACUAUCUGCUAGAUUAUAGCUAAACGCCUCUAAGUUAGAAUCUAUGCUAGAACAGGGUGAUUUCCGCCUGCACUAGUUAGAUACAAAUAGGCCUUUGGCCUAGAACCUUACUAGAUUAGCGUUAGCAGCCCUAUUAAAGUUAGGGUUAUUAGCUAGUGUAUUGCAAUUGUAUAGUGCGCAGGAUUGAAUCCUUUACAGAUAACUUAGUUGUCUAGCUAGGUCGUGUAAGUAGUUAAGUAGCCUUGUUGUUACAAGCUACUAAGCGUAAGCCUGUUGCUAGCUUAGUUAAAAUUAGGAUAUUAUGCCCUCCUUAUUUGCAAAACUGCUGCCUAAACAGCUACUAUUAAUAGAAGGAAGAGGGCUAUAGCAAACAAGUUAUAUAGUAAUUGCAAGAUAGAGAGGGCUAGAGCUAGGAGCAAUCCUCGCAAAAUAUACAAAAGAACAGGUUAUGUGUGUACGUACCUUAGGCAGUUAAUAUAUAGCAUAGGAAGAUUAAGAAAGGAUUUAAGAUAAUCUAUACAGAUUUUUAGGCGGUGAUCUAUAACUUAAGAGCGUUCUAUAACUUUUUAUUUUUUAGGGGUAGUGUUCUAUAACUCUAGGGCGUUCUAUAACUUUAGGGCGUUCUAUAACUUUAGGGCGUUCUAUAACUUUUUAUUUUUUAGGGGUAGUGUUCUAUAACUUUAGGGCGUUCUAUAACUUUUUAUUUUUUAGGGUUAGUAUUCUAUAAUAUUAGAGUGUUCUAUAACUUUUUCUUUUUUAGAGGUAGUGUUCUAUAACUUUAGGGCGUUCUAUAACUUUUUAUUUUUUAGAGGUAGUAUUCUAUAACUUUAGGGCGUUCUAUAACUUUAGGGCGUUCUAUAACUUUUUAUUUUUUAGGGGUAGUGUUCUAUAACUUUAGGGCGUUCUAUAACUUUUUCUUUUUUAGAGGUAGUGUUCUAUAACUUUUGGGCGUUCUAUAACUUUUUAUUUUUUAGGGGUAGUGUUCUAUAACUUUAGGGCGUUCUAUAACUUUAGGGCGUUCUAUAACUUUAGGGCGUUCUACAACUUUUUAUUUUUUAGGGGUAGUGUUCUAUAACUUUAGGGCGUUCUAUAACUUUAGGGCGUUCUAUAACUUUAGGGCGUUCUACAACUUUUUAUUUUUUAGGGGUAGUGUUUUAUAACUUUAGGGCGUUCUAUAACUUUUUCUUUUUUAGAGGUAGUAUUCUAUAACUUUAGGGCGUUCUAUAACUUUUUCUUUUUUAGAGGUAGUGUUCUAUAAUAUUAGAGUGUUCUAUAACUUUUUAUUUUUUAGGGUUAGUAUUCUAUAAUAUUAGAGUGUUCUAUAACUUUUUCUUUUUUAGAGGUAGUGUUCUAUAAUAUUAGAGUGUUCUAUAACUUUUUCUUUUUUAGAGGUAGUGUUCUAUAACUUUAGGGCGUUCUAUAACUUUAGGGCGUUCUAUAACUUUAGGGCGUUCUACAACUUUUUAUUUUUUAGGUGUAGUGUUCUAUAACUUUAGGGCGUUCUAUAACUUUAGGGCGUUCUACAACUUUUUAUUUUUUAGGGGUAGUGUUCUAUAACUUUAGAGCGUUCUAUAACUUUUUCUUUUUUAGAGGUAGUGUUCUAUAACUUUAGGGCGUUCUACAACUUUUUAUUUUUAGGGGUAGCGUUCUAUAACUUUAGGGCGUUCUAUAACUUUAGGGCCUUCUAUAAGCUUAGGGCGUUCUAUAACUUUAGGGUGUUCUAUAACUUUAGGGCGUUCUAUAACUUUUUAUUUUUUAGGGUUAGUGUUCUAUAACUUUAGCGCGUUCUAUACCUUUUAUUUAUUCUAUUACUUUAGUCCUUUCUAUAACUUUAGACUAUUCUAUACUAGUAGCUAUUAUAUCCUUUUUAUAAUACUUAUUAUAUCAUACUAUUAUCUAUUAUUCUUUACUGUUAAGUAUAUCCUUAUAUUUUAUAAAACCUUUUCUCUACUAGCUAGUCCUACUAUACUUUCUUUUAUAACCUACUAGUAUUAAAUAAUACCUUUAUAUUCUUCUUUUAUACUAUCUCUAUUUCUUGCCUUAUCUAUUAAGUAGAUAUAGAUAGAGCUAAUAGAUCUAUAGUUAAUAUAGAUACAGUAGUUAUAGUAGAGUACAGAUAUUAGAGUAGAUAUCCUUAUCUAUAUAUUUACAUACUACUAAUAAAAUUCUAAGUUACUCUUAUCUAGCGAAUACGGGUUUAUAGUUUGUAUAGGGCUGCGCAUGUCUACACGGUUUUACAUACAAAAAAGUGUACCUCUAAGCUGUUUUCUGCUGCACUAACCCCGUAACGCGAAAAUUAAACCAAAACCCAUUCCUAUAAUAUAUAAGGAGGGCAAAUGGAUUCUUAAAUACUAAAUACCUAACUAACUAACUAAGGUUAAAUCUACUGCGCGCAGUUCUUGGAUUAGGUAGUUAAACUAGCGUUAUUAGGUACUAAGGGGGCAAUUUUUGCUUAUAUCUGCGUCUAUACUCCCUAUAACUCCCUAUUAUUAGCGCUCUACGCCUGUUUUAGCAGUAGUUAGACUAAAUUUAAAAGUUUUAGUUUUAUAAUAGCUAGCCUUGUUUCCUAGAUUUCUGCCUAGUUUAGAUUUGCUCUAAUUAGUAGGUAAUUAGGGGCUUAGAGAUUGCUCUUCUACUUAACUAGGCAGGCCUAGGCCUAUAUGCUAAAGCAACCCUGCUAUUACGCCUAGUUUUAUAGUUAGCACCUAAAGUCCUACUGUUAAAGUUUUAGCAGUAGGCAAAAUUUGGGGUCUAUGGAUGGCUAGCACUGCCAAACUAUUUAACAGAUCUUGGGGGACAGCCCUACCUAGCAUCUGCUCCUAGUAAGCGUGGCAAAGCGUAGGUUUUCUCUACUUAAGGCAUAUAUGUAGCGAGUUUAAACACGCAGAAACGCCUGUUAGGCUUUAUUGCGGACCAUUCCUUAAGAAACUUAGUAGGGGCAAUUAAAUUAGUUGCUAGUUAUAACUAGUGCCUUAUGUGCUAUUAUGCUAGUAGCUAGAAUUGCUUCUGCAAUUUCUUAUCACGUACUUUCUACCUCCUUUUAGGGGUAGUGCUUGUGCGCUUCAGCGUAUUAGGCAUUAGGAUUGUUACCUAGUUAAUUCUGCUAGUAGUUAUAUGCUUGU
rnacentral:rRNA from 1 species